rnacentral:rRNA from 1 species
CAGCAGCCACGGGAAUACGGAGGAUCCAAGCGUUAUCCGGAAUCAUUGGGUUUAAAGGGUCCGUAGGCGGUCUUGUAAGUCAGUGGUGAAAGCCCAUCGCUCAACGGUGGAACGGCCAUUGAUACUGCAGGACUUGAAUUAUUGGGAAGUAACUAGAAUAUGUAGUGUAGCGGUGAAAUGCUUAGAGAUUACAUGGAAUACCAAUUGCGAAGGCAGGUUACUACCAAUUGAUUGACGCUGAUGGACGAAAGCGUGGGUAGCGAACAGGAUUAGAUACCCCUGUAGUCCCUGUCUCUUAUAC